ACGUGUGCUCUUCCGAUCUCGACGGAUGCCUUGGCAGUAGAAGGCGAUGAAGGACGUGAUAAUCUGCGAUAAGCUUCGGUUAGCUGAUAAUAAGCUUUAACCCGGAGAUCUCCGAAUGGGAAAACCCAGUGAUCAUAAGAUCAUUAUCCUUAACUGAAUACAUAGGUUAAGGAGGCAAACCUAGGGAACUGAAACAUCUAAGUACCUAGAGGAAAAGAAAUCAACCGAGAUUCCCUUAGUAGCGGCGAGCGAACGGGGACCAGCCCUUAAGCAAUUUUGAGAUUAGUAGAAUGUUCUGGAAAGUUCAACGACACAGGGUGAUAGUCCCGUAUACGAAAAUCUUUUAAUUGUGAAAUCGAGUAAGGCGGCGCACGUGAAACGCUGUUUGAAUAUGGGGGGACCACCCUCCAAGGCUAAAUACUCUCUACUGACCGAUAGUGAACAAGUACCGUGAGGGAAAGGCGAAAAGAACCCCGGGAGGGGAGUGAAAUAGAACCUGAAAUCGUAUGCAUACAAGCAGUGGGAGCAGACUUGUUCUGUGACUGCGUACCUUUUGUAUAAUGGGUCAGCGACUUACUUCUCAGUAGCAAGGUUAACCAUUAGGGGAGCCGUAGGGAAACCGAGUCUUAAAUGGGCGUUUAGUUGCUGGGAGUAGACCCGAAACCGGGUGAUCUAUCCAUGGUCAGUGUGAAGGUUAGGUAAAACUAACUGGAGGCGCGAACCCACUUAUGUUGAAAAAUGAGGGGAUGAACUGUGGAUAGGGGUGAAAGGCCAAACAAACCCGGAGAUAGCUGGUUCUCUCCGAAAUCUAUUUAGGUAGAGCGUCGCGUAUUACUUCUGGGGGUAGAGCACUGUUAUGGCUAGCGGGUCGUCAAGGCUUAGUAAACCAUUGCAAACUCCGAAUACCAGAAAGUAUGAGCGCGGCAGACACACUGCGGGUGCUAACGUCCGUAGUGGAAAGGGAAACAACCCAGACCGUCAGCUAAGGUCCCAAAAUUAUAGUUAAGUGGGAAACGAUGUGAAAAGGCCCAGACAGCCAGGAGGUUGGCUUAGAAGCAGCCAUUCCUUUAAAGAGUGCGUAAUAGCUCACUGGUCGAGUCGGUUUGCGCGGAAGAUUUAACGGGGCUAAACUAUAUACCGAAGCUGCGGAUCGCAAUUUAUUGCGAUGGUAGGAGAGCGUUCUGUAAGCCGUUGAAGGUGAACUGUGAGGUUUGCUGGAGGUAUCAGAAGUGCGAAUGCUGACAUGAGUAACGAUAAAGGGGGUGAAAAACCCCCUCGCCAGAAGUCCAAGGUUUCCUACGCAACGUUAAUCGGCGUAGGGUUAGUCGGCCCCUAAGGCGAGGCAGAAAUGCGUAGUCGAUGGGAAACGGGUUAAUAUUCCCGUACUUCAUAUAACUGCGAUGGGAAGACGGAGUAGGUUAGCUCAGCAAGGCGAUGGUUGUCCUUGUUCAAGCGUGUAGAAAUGGUUCUUAGGAAAAUCCGGGAACCUCUAUUUCAAGGCGUGAUAACGAGCCCUCUUUUGGGCGAAGUGAGUGAGACCAUGCUUCCAGGAAAAUCCUCUAAGCUUCAGGUUAUAUGAAACCGUACCCCAAACCGACACAGGUGGACGAGAUGAGAAUUCUAAGGCGCUUGAGAGAACUCGGGUGAAGGAACUAGGCAAAAUGACACCGUAACUUCGGGAGAAGGUGUGCUCUUGUUAUGUGAUAUCACUUGCUGAUUGAGCAAAGAAGAGCUGAAAAAACUAGGUGGCUGCGACUGUUUAUUAAAAACACAGCACUCUGCAAACACGUAAGUGGACGUAUAGGGUGUGACUCCUGCCCGGUGCUUGAAGGUUAAUUGAUGAGGUUAGCGCUUGCGCGAAGCUUUUGAUCGAAGCCCAAGUAAACGGCGGCCGUAACUAUAACGGUCCUAAGGUAGCGAAAUUCCUUGUCGGG
rnacentral:rRNA from 1 species